rnacentral:rRNA from 1 species
GGGGUGCUCGAGUGGCUAACGGGUGAGUAACACGUGAGUAACCUGCCCUUGACUUUGGGAUAACUUCAGGAAACUGGGGCUAAUACCGGAUAGGAGCUCCUGCUGCAUGGUGGGGGUUGGAAAGUUUCGGCGGUUGGGGAUGGACUCGCGGCUUAUCAGCUUGUUGGUGGGGUAGUGGCUUACCAAGGCUUUGACGGGUAGCCGGCCUGAGAGGGUGACCGGCCACAUUGGGACUGAGAUACGGCCCAG